GACCGCGUGGCUCAGUUGGCAGAGCAUUGGGCUAGUAUUCCAAAGAUCGUAGGUUCGAUUCCCACCGUGGUCA
rnacentral:tRNA from 1 species